CUUCCCACUGUAUGAGGUUGGGUGGGAAGCAGUCUGUCUCCACCGUAGAAGCGAAAACGCCGGAUGCUUUUGUCUGGCUUCUUGUGGCCUACGGCAGGGAUGGGCAUACGUCAUGGGUUUGACUGAUCAGCUGCCUGCACCCCGCAUUAGAAAUUGGGAGCUAGCGAUGCACAGAAGCAGGGCAGAGAGGAAGCUGUUCCGGCCUUCUGGCCCGGAGGUGGCCCCGGUGAGCAGCAUCGGUAACAUCCGUUAGCAGCAGCAGCACGGGCCGCGGGGCCGGUGGCGGCCUCUGCAUCCGUACCCGAGGUCUGGGGGCUGCCGGCGGUGGCUUCUACUGUUCUGUGCGGGCAGCCGUGGUGUCCGGGGCUCUUCGCUCUGGCUCCGGCUGCGGAGUCUUUAUCUGUUCGCGUCCUUUUUCUGGCCUCGUUGGCGGUGCAGCGGUGAGUCUGUGAGCUGCACGGGAGCCUUGCCGUAGAUUUCUUUCCUCGACCCUUCAUUAAUUUUAAAGAUGCUUGGCACCUUUCUGGAUUCUCUUUUUUCUGUACCAAGCCUGGGACCCAGCCUGUCACUUUACAGUAGCAUUCUCCAACACUCUGGAUCCCCCGCCACCAUGACCCAAAGGUUGGUUGCUGAAAUGGAGCAGGUGCCAUGGGAAUUAAACUGCAUGUCUGUGCUGUCAAAUGGAUGUCAAUACUUCUGCAAGGAGGUCAAGGCUAAGACAAUUCAAGAACACCAGCUUUGAAGUCAGAUGUACCUGAGUUCAAAUCCUGCCUCUGGUCGUUGACAGUGUACUCAGCGUUAGAUAAGGUGGUCUCUCAUGCCUCCAUUUGCUCAUCUGUGACAUAGAGCUACAGGAUCUGCUGGGCUGGACAUCUUCCAUGUGCCCUGCCAGAUGUCACUCUACCCUUCCCCACUCUGCGCUGUGCCCUGAAGCUCCCCUGCCCUCUGGCUCCACGUGGGAAGCGCCCAGAGCCAGGUUCACGCAGCUGCCUCCCGGGAGCGCCCGCGGUGGUCCAGACUUCUUCAAAUGCAGCCUGAAUGCCACCGCUAAGCACCAAACACUGGCCCCUGGAGUAAGGCUAACUGUGUAGCCUGUAAUCUGACAUGGUUCCUGAUCUGCCAGGAGUCUAACUUUAAUUUCCACUUCUUCCCCUUGAUGGACCCUCAUGCUGAUGACACCGCAUUCCUCGCUCACUAUUUCCUGACCACAUCCAUGCAAUUCCCGACCUUGUGCCUCAACUUCUGCUGUUCCCUGCUAGGUCCUGACUACACAGGGCUAAGUUCUACCUUUUGCUUUGGCCUGGCUCAAGUGCCUUUAAGGCAUUCUUCCCCUCAACUCCCAGGCACAGGGAUUGUUCUCUUGCAAGAACUCCUAUGCCCUAUCCUCUGUCACCGUGUAUCUUUCUUUCAGCACUUUAUCACUUCCUGCUUUGUAUUACAAUUGUGUGUUUUAUUUCCCCUGCUUAUUUGUAAGUCCUCUGGUGAAAUGUCUGCAUUUUAUUCAUCCUGUGCCUCCCACAAUUGCUUGCCCACGCAGGCUGCUCAACAGAUCCUUCGUGAAUGAUGGAUGUGGUGGUGCUGGUGGGUAAUGUCCAUAGGCUGGGUGAAUGACUUGAAAAAGCACUUGUUUGGGGUGUUCUUCAGCUGUACGAGCAAGCACCGUGUUUCUGUACAGUACCACUCAUGUUGAGGGAAGGGAUGAGGAGUAAAGUCAUCCCUAAUCUCUCUUUUGGAUCACUGCUACUUAUAGUUCAUGACAAAACACUGUCUAAAAAGGCUCGCUGGGGGUAACCCUGCAUGAAUGAUGAUAUUCCAGAACGGAUGGUGGGCUCCAGGGGGAGGGGAAAGUGUGAAGGGAGAGUGUAAAGGGAAAUUUUCACUCUCUGCCUGCCAACCAGGAAAAAUGGAAUACAUCCUCUAUGCUAGCGUCUUUGAUUCCCCUUAUAACACGAGGACACAUCAUAAUGAAUUAACAUUUAUGUCUCAGUGAUAAAUUCAGCCAAGAUGUAUUGAACUUGCACGGUGUGUCCCAGCGCUGUCACGUGCCUUGGGGGAUACCGGGGACCAGAGGCAGGGUCUCUGCCCCUAAUUUAUUGCUCAGCUUUACCUGGGAAGCAAAAUCUAAAAACAAUACCAUCCACAGAGAGGAGGCCUAUGGAUGGGCUCAUUAUUCGACAACUCUGCCCUAAAGCCAUUCAUGCGUUGAAAGCAUUUUAAUACAAUUUGAGGCCACGUUAUGUGAGCCAGAUUCUCCAUGCCUGAGUUACUCUCUGGGCACAAAUAAGGUUCUUCUGAGGUAGCCAGGGGUAAAAAUAGCUUACCGUGGACUUUGACUUGGCGUUAAACAUGUUAACCUCUUAUGAAGCAACCUUCACUGGCUACCUGCUUCUGUGGCUCCAGACUGACCCUUUACUUCUGUCCCUCAUCUCAGAAACGUCGACCGACACGCUGCUCAUGGCCAUUCGGGGAAAGUGCCCAGAACGGUCUUGGAUCCUGUGGGCAGAGCACAGGGGCACAGGCAGCCUGCUGGGGCUGCUGUUGGCAGGAGAAAGGAGCAAGAUGAACAGACGUCAGCCUUGCAGCUGCUCUAAUGACCCUGCCCAAAGGAAAGCCACUCUAAAAAUAGAAUCAAAGGGAACAAAUGGUCUGCCUGACAACCUGUUUUGAGGGGCAGGAGGCUGGAGGAUUCAAAAAAUGAAAGUAUGUUAUCAAGGAGGAUGAAAAACAUACAGAUUGGAAAAGUUUUAAGGCAUGAUUUUUACCAAAAAGCUCAUUUGGUCAAGUUCAUAGCUAUGUGGCAUCUAUAGAGAUUAAGUUAAACAUGUAACAUUGCCAGUAUCAGAUACAGCCUGAUGCAUCUGUUCUGGUUUUAUGCGAUGCUUCCUAUAUUUAACAAAGCCCUUGGUAUCUUAGGAACACAAUUUAAAACAUUUUCAUAGUAAACCACAGGCCUUUGAACUGGUGUUAAGGAGAAAACCCUAAAGACUCCACAAAAAACUGCUG